UUGGGAGAAGAGAGCAGAAGGAAGGUUAGAAGGAAGCACAAUCAGUUUUAUUGUUACUAUGAUCUGAAAGCUGGACCUCUUCCACAUCUUUCAGAAUACUGACUUCAGUUCCUGUUAACACACUUAUCUUUAGACAUCAUGGGACCCAGUCCAGUUGAAAGGUGUGCUUCUGACUUUCUAUAUUUUUCUGGACACCAUAUCUAAGCUUCAGUCUUACUUUGGAACCUUCUUCAGAGAUUGGAGCCUUUUCAUCCUGGAAUAUUCAAUCAUUUCUGUGGUUUCCUCACAGUGGAAUAUCAUCCCGUCAUGUUGGCCCCCUUCACCCUUUGAGUUCUUCCCAAAGGCCCAGUUGCACAAUUAUUAUUGGCUUGCAGCUGUUUUAGGAAGAUGGGUUGAAAGAGCACCCAACUGGAAAGUGGAAGACCUUUGGUUCUUUUCCCAGCACUGUCAUCAAGUAGCUGUGUGACCACUGGCAAAUUAUAGAAUCUUUCUGGGCCUCAGUUUUCUACAAUAAAAUGAGAGGGAGGGUCGGCAAGAUUAGCAUCUCAAUAAAAGUACAUCCAACUAUUUGGCAAGCAGAUCAAGAAUCUAUCUCUCCAAGAUAAGUAUUAACUCAUUCAGAUUUUACUCAUAGUUUCUCAUCUUACUUCUGCAGAUCAUCCUAGUUAUCCUCAGAUCCUCUGAAGGCUCAUAACUCCACUGUACAACUUAUUCCCUGUGACUUCUCACAGUUUCUAUCCUGCUUUUCCCUACCAAAAAUAUCUUCAGACCUUGACUCAACUUAAGACUACUUUUCUCAGAAUUCUCUAACUACCAAUAGUCUGUAUCCAGUAAUAACUAAUAAUCACUGACCAUAGGCUAACUUACCUGGAACAGGUCUUGCAUUAGUUUUGUGGGAUCCUGGGUACCAAAUUGAUAUCACUUCUUUAUUCAACACUGAUUCUAUAUGCUUCAUCCAAAUCCUCUAGUAGUCAUCUGAUGCUUUGUCUGAUUCCUUUGGAUCACCAU
ensembl:lncRNA